GGCGCGUUGCUGGGCGGAGGGAAGAUGGCGGUGACUAGCUGGCUGGAGAUUUUGCGGUCGGCCGAGAAGACGGCACUGCUGCAGGAUGGGAAGAGGAUGGUGCACUAUUUGUUCCCAGACGGGAAGGAAAUGGCGGAAGAAUAUGAUGAGAAGACCAGUGAACUCCUUGUGAGAAAGUGGCGUGUGAAAAAUGCCCUGGGAGCCUUGGGCCAGUGGCAGCUCGAAGUGGGAGAACCAAUGCCCUCAGGAGCUGGGAGCCUGGGAUCCGAGCUCAUCAAGGAAAGUAAUGCCAAUGUAUGUCUGUUUGUCCAGGGCCUUGUGGGGAUUGGGAGGAGACAUCUGACCCUAAGGGCAGGAUCCAUAAUGUGUUCACCUCAUAGCCACUCUGCCCACCUAACCAUCCAAAGGGUAUGUCACAGCAGUAGCAACUGCUUCAGGUGGGAAUCCAUGGAGAAGAGCAGAGGGGCUUCCUGUCUGGCUUCUGGGAAGAACCUGGGGAGGGGGAGGAACCAACCCUUCUUACCUCUCUCCAUGAAUGGUCCUUAAAAAACUGGGCAUCAUAUCACGUGCCUAUAAUCCCAGAAUUGGGGAGGCGGAGGCUGGAGAACUGUAAGUUCAAGGUCCCCUUACUACACAGUGAGCCCAAGGCCAACCUGGGCUCAUUUGCUUUUCAUAGCCCAUCUUCAUGCGCAAGGACACCAAAACAAGUUUCCAGUGGCGGAUUCGAAAUCUCCCCUACCCAAAGGAUGUCUACAGUGUGUCAGUGG
rnacentral:lncRNA from 1 species